CAAGAAUAUUAUAUCACGUUGAAUGUCCCAGUUCCCGAUAGAUCACAGAAGUGAAGCAACGUUGCCCAUGGUUUUUAUCUGGAUCGGUGGCCAUCUGGGCAAGCCCAUGCCGCUGGC
rnacentral:rRNA from 1 species